UGGUGGCCCAUAUUAGCUGGAUUGUGGGUGACAGUCGAAUGAUUGACGUGAUCCUGACCAGUGCAUGGCUGACAUUUCACUUUCCCGAUGGCCGACCUUCAUCAGCUCUGAGGUGGGUGAGACCCUCAUGGUCAGUGAUCUGCUUCAAACUGGGAGGAGAAGCUAGGAUGAGCAGUUGGUGACUUGAUUCUUUGGUGGGCAGCUGACCGAGAGGAUUAUGGCUCAGGCGAUACCAUUGGUUGACGGGUCGG
rnacentral:lncRNA from 1 species